AGUUGCGAUCAUACCAGCACUAAUGCACCAGAUCCCAUCAGAACUCCGUAGUUAAGCGUGCUUGGGCGAGAGUAGUACUAGGAUGGGUGACCCCCUGGGAAGUCCUCGUGUUGCAACCCC
rnacentral:rRNA from 1 species